UACGGAGGAUGCAAGCGUUAUCUGGAAUGAUUGGGCGUAAAGGGUCUGUAGGUGGUUGUUCAAGUCUGCUGUUAAAGCGUCUGGCUUAACCAGAUAAAGGCGGUGGAAACUGAACGACUAGAGUGCGGUAGGGGUAGAGGGAAUUCCCAGUGUAGCGGUGAAAUGCGUAGAUCUUGGGAAGAACACCUGUGGCGAAAGCGCUCUACUGGACCGCGACUGACACUGAUGGACGAAAGCUAGGGGAGCGAAUGGG
rnacentral:rRNA from 1 species